UUAAUUGAAACCAAAAAGAGGUAUAUCACUGUUAAUGAUACCAAUGAGACUAUUCUCCAAUUAAG
rnacentral:tRNA from 1 species